rnacentral:rRNA from 1 species
UACAGAGGUCUCAAGCGUUGUUCGGAUUCAUUGGGCGUAAAGGGUGCGUAGGCGGCGAGGUAAGUCGGAUGUGAAAUCCCGGGGCUCAACCCCGGAACUGCAUUCGAUACUGCCUUGCUCGAGUACUGGAGAGGAGACUGGAAUUUACGGUGUAGCAGUGAAAUGCGUAGAUAUCGUAAGGAAGACCAGUGGCGAAGGCGGGUCUCUGGACAGUUCCUGACGCUGAGGCACGAAGGCCAGGGGAGCAAACGGG